UGGGGAAUAUUGCACAAUGGGCGCAAGCCUGAUGCAGCCAUGCCGCGUGUAUGAAGAAGGCCUUCGGGUUGUAAAGUACUUUCAGUCGGGAGGAAGGUGGUAAGGUUAAUAACCUUAUCAAUUGACGUUACCGACAGAAGAAGCACCGGCUAACUCCGUGCCAGCAGCCGCGGUAAUACGGAGGGUGCAAGCGUUAAUCGGAAUUACUGGGCGUAAAGCGCACGCAGGCGGUUGAUUGAGUCAGAUGUGAAAUCCCCGGGCUUAACCCGGGAAUUGCAUCUGAUAAUGGUCAGCUAGAGGCAUGUAGAGGGGGGUAGAAUUCCAUGUGUAGCGGUGAAAUGCGUAGAGAUGUGGAGGAAUACCGGUGGCGAAGGCGGCCCCCAGGACAAAGACUGACGCUCAGGUGCGAAAGCGUGGGGAGCAAACAGG
rnacentral:rRNA from 1 species